rnacentral:rRNA from 1 species
AAAGAUUAAGCCAUGCAUGUCUAAGUAUAAGCAAUUAUACAGCGAAACUGCGAAUGGCUCAUUAUAUAAGUUAUCGUUUAUUUGAUAGUACCUUACUACUUGGAUAACCGUGGUAAUUCUAGAGCUAAUACAUGCUAAAAAUCCCGACUUCGGAAGGGAUGUAUUUAUUAGAUUAAAAACCAAUGCCCUCUGGGCUCCUUGGUGAUUCAUGAUAACUUCUCGAAUCGCACGGCCUUGCGCCGGCGAUGGUUCAUUCAAAUUUCUUCCCUAUCAACUUUCGAUGUUUGGGUAGUGGCCAAACAUGGUUG